rnacentral:rRNA from 1 species
AUUGAACGCUGGCGGCAGGCCUAACACAUGCAAGUCGAGCGGAUGAAGGGAGCUUGCUCCUGGAUUCAGCGGCGGACGGGUGAGUAAUGCCUAGGAAUCUGCCUGGUAGUGGGGGAUAACGUCCGGAAACGGGCGCUAAUACCGCAUACGUCCUGAGGGAGAAAGAGGGGGAUCUUCGGACCUCACGCUAUCAGAUGAGCCUAGGUCGGAUUAGCUAGUUAGUGGGGUAAAGGCCUACCAAGGCGACGAUCCGUAACUGGUCUGAGAGGAUGAUCAGUCACACUGGAACUGAGACACGGUCCAGACUCCUACGGGAGGCAGCAGUGGGGAAUCUUGGACAAUGGGCGAAAGCCUGAUCCAGCCAUGCCGCGUGUGUGAAGAAGGUCUUCUGAUUGUAAAGCACUUUAAGUUGGGAGGAAGGGCAGUAAGUUAAUACCUUGCUGUUUUGACGUUACCAACAGAAUAAGCACCGGCUAACUUCGUG